GGCAUUUGCACUGGGAGGACUGCUGAGCCCUGCUCACUGAUUAUCAAGUGCAUGGCAGGGAGGGGGCAGGAUUGUGGCUGAGUUUCUGGCCCUCUUGGCCAUAUGCUCAGGGGAAACAGCAGAUUGAGAGUGAGCAGGAAAACGGGAGCACCCCAGCAGAUUUUCAGUGCUCCUGACACAUAGCUGUUGCAUAGAAGAUUGCCCCCUGUUUUCAAAAUGGAGAAAUAUGGAAUCAAAGAGGGUUAUUUCCUGAGCAAGGACUCCAGGGCAAGGCAAUUACUGGACCAUAAAUACCACCAAAGCCUACUGACUUUCCCAAGGCUUGAAUGGGAAUCAUUCCCAGAUAAAUAUAACUAAGUCAUUGGCAUGAUUUGAUGAAUGCAAACAUAUAGAUACGAAGGCUUGUCUUCACAGAUGGAGUUUGAAACUGUGCCUAAAGAGAGUAUCCAGUCACCUCGCUGGGUAGAGGGAAGGGCCUUCUGACCAAGAACCUUUACUGUUCGCAGGUCUUUGGCAAACUUCAGCUGAAUUACAAACAGAAGGAAGGGGGGGACAUUGAAGUAAGAAAGAUGGAAUUUUCUGGAAUUCAAGUGGAAUUCAAUGGGCUGUCUCAGUUUCUCAUUCAGUCCACUUGUCUCUGAGGGCCCAGGGAUCUAACUCCUAAAAAAAUGGAACAAAAUAAAACAAAGAAACAAGCAGCAUUUUUCUGUGUUAUUAAAAAUUUACAACUUGUGAUCUCUGACAGUAGAUCAUGGGCAAUUCCCAGGGAAGUCUAUCUAGAAUGUGACUCCCUCCCAAGCUGUUCACCUGGGGGAGCUGUGGACCUCAGCUAAAUUAAAAGCCCUUCUUGGCCUGAGCAGCUGCAGAAGGGGUCAGCCCAGGUUUGCAGGGCCGUCUCUCUGCUUCCUUGACCACAGCCGUUCCCUAUUUUUCGGCACUCCACUCCUAGCAAGCAGCGCGAUCAUUGGAGCUCUUAAAUAAACGGGAAGCAGCAGACACUGCCCAGAGGGCUCCAGCACAGAAGGAGAUGCCGUCUGCUUCUCGGAGGAAGAAUUUAAAGGGUCCCAGGACCCAGAUGUGGGUUUGAAAGGCAGGAGCAGACAGAAAUUGGCAACAACUAAGACCUGGGCAGUGGUUCUGGCUGCUGAGGAUGAAGCAGAGGCAGAGAUAAAGCAACAGGAUCGGCCUGUGUGUCUGCAAGACCUUCUGCUGGAGAGGCUGGAGAAGAACUGUGAGAGAAUACAUUUCUGUUCUUCCAUGCCACCCUGAUUGUGCAACUUUGGUACCGCAGUCCUGAGAAACUAAUACAACAUCUAAUAACUGCCAUGAAGAUGCAUGGUGAGCACUCGGAACGUGGUGACAGCUGAGCACCAAUGCCCGUAUUUCCUGGGAAGACAGUGUACUGGAGUGAAUGCUGGACUUUGAUAAAAAGACAGCAGCCCCUGUAGGUUCAUGGAGGUUGUGCAUGGAGGUGAAGGUGGCUGGAAUCAAAUCUCUGCUGCUAGGAAUGACUGGAAGGUGUGCUGAUGCUUCUGGGGUCCCAGAGCACUCAUUCCCUCUCUUUUUCACUUCUGUUUACCCCAUACGGAACCGAGAAUGGUGGAGAGAAGAGGGAAGCAUCCACACAGAAAAAAAGACAUGGAUAUUUAUUUAUCACAGAAGAGGCUGAAAGGACUCAUGUGAACUUCCUUCUGGAGAUGAAAAGAAAACAUUUCAUUCUUAGCCUGUGCUGUCUACUGAACAAAACCAGAAGAUAGUGACUGUCCUUGUGGACAGAUGUCACCCAAAGCAGGCACGGAUCAUGUUUGUUUUUCUUUCUAGCCCCACAUGACUUCGAACUCACUCCGUAAAUAAAAGAGACAGGAGCACAAAACUCUUUACACUUCCUGCUUCCUCCCAGCAUGCUGACAUUUCAAAGUCCCAUAUGUUUCCCUAAACAAAGUUUCAUAAAAAUAUGUAUUUUUUAAAAUCCAACAACUGCUUUCAGGUUAUUACAACCCAAGCGAAGAAAGGCUGCCUGUGGCCAUGUAGGACGGUUUACAGGAUGCUGUGGUUGCCUCUACCCUUCUGGGUAACAGCAGGCACAUUUCAAAGGCUUAAACAGAGAUGUGGUUGAAGACCUAAGAUAAAUGUAUGCUUCUUCAUUUAUCCAUGUAAAUGAGUAAUAUUCUGCAACUCAGCCACAAGCAGGAUAUGGUUUUAAUAAAUAUUUCCCAUUCAGAAAUGAGUAAUUAGAGUUUAAAACAUGUCAGACUCCUACAGACUGGUGAUAGACAUUGACUAGUUACCUCUCCAGCAUUGAUUUUUCCUUUCUCACCCUUCUUCUAUUCUCACCAGUGGUCUAGAUGGGGUUGACCUUGUCCCCAGCUCUAGGAAUGGACUACCAUUGGCUCAAGCCAAUCGACAUAUCCCAUUCCUCGGGCCACAUGGGUUGGUCAGGGAUGAACUUGUGAUCUGAUCUGAGCCAAGGAUUCAUAGUGAUAAAUGCCUAUAUAAUCAACCAACCUAACUUCACACCUCAAGAAACUAGAAAAAGAAGAGCAAACUAAGCCCAAGGCUGGUAGAAGGAAGGAAACAACAAAGAUCAGAGAGGAAAUUAUGAAUGAAAUAGAGACUGAAAAAGACAAUAGAAAAGAUCUAUGAAACUAAGAGCUGUUUUUUUGGAAAAGAUGAAAAUAGACAAACCUUUAGCUAGACUCUCAAGAAAAAAAAGAGGACUCAAAAAAUAUUAGAAAUGAAAAAGGAGACGAUACAACUAACACCACAAAAAUACAAAGGAUCAUACAAGACUACUAUGAGCAAUUAUAUUUCCCAAAAUGAAUGAUCUAGAAGACAUGGAUAAACUCCUAGAAGCAUACAACCUACCAAGACUGAAUCAUGAGGAAACAGAAAAUCUGAAUAGACCUAUUAGUAGUUGAAAUUGAAUCAGUAAUCAAAACCUCCCAACAUAGAAAAGUCUGCAACCAAAUGGCUUUGCUGGUGAAUUCUAUGGAACAUUUAAAGAAGAAUAAAUACCAAUCCUUCUCAAACUCUUCCAAUUUGGGCCAGUGAGAGAGUUGACAAUCACAGGACUUGUGUGGAGAAUACUAAAAGAGGUUCUUAUAUUACACCUGGUGUGGUCUGAAGAUGUGAGGUUUGGAAAUGCCAGGGUGCUUUUCUACCCUAGGGAGAGAGCCCAAAGUUGCCAGGAGUCUUUAUAUGGAAUCUGGAGAUGAAACUAUCACCACUGGAAAGAUUGUAAGAGCAAGAACCUUGGGUGGCUUAGACUUACCUGAAGUUAGCCCUAUCUUUGGGUUUUUCAAUUACAUUAAGCCAAUAAAUUAUCUGUUGUUAAGCAAGAUCUAAUUGAAUUCUCUGUUGCUUGCACAUACUAGAAACCUAAAUGAUUCAAGGCUGUUAAUGCUAUUCCUAGCUAUGACUAGAGCUUCCAAAGAAGCUCUGAAAUCUUGUGCAGAACAUGUUUUCAUUUCUCCCUUGCUGUGGUUUUUACUUCACCAUCAUCCUCCACUCUUCUUUUUUGCAUGGAGCCCCAUUAUCUCUUAGGAAACCACCCUUCCUCCCACUCCACGCCAUCCUAGCUGACCCCCACCUCCUGGCUCUAGCAGUGGACAUGUGACCCAGGCAUAACCAAUCAGGGCAUUCCAUUCCUGGAGCUAUUUGAUUGGCUCAGGGAUGGGUAAACUAUACCAAAAUAGCCAAUGAAAAUAAAAUCCAGAACUUUUAUUUGAACUCUUAUUCAAAACUCUUAUUUGAAGCAUUUUCUGAGGGAGGAGAAUACAAACAUCUUCAUGGAUAUUUUGUCACCACAUGGAAAGAACAUCCCUGAAAAUGAAGCAACAGAGAGGAAAGAAAGACACAAGAAAGAGAGAUGGUGAGAGAAGAGCCAAGUCCUAAGAACACCAGGCCUGAAUGUAGCCAUGCCUGCAGCAUGUGAAGAAAUAACUUCCUUCUUAAGGGAGUUUGAUCUGAGUUUUCUGUUAUUUACAGUUAAUAAUCUUAAUUAAUAUAGUCAUGAAUAUUUUUUACACUAAAACAAAUAUUUCUUUCUAUUUAUUAUAAUUUAUUAUUUUUCCCUAGUAGAAAAGUAAUACAUAAUUAAUGCAGAAAGUUGG